rnacentral:rRNA from 1 species
GACGAACGCUGGCGGCGUGCCUAAUACAUGCAAGUCGAACGAACCGCGACUAGGUGCUUGCACUUGGUCAAGGUGAGUGGCGAACGGGUGAGUAACACGUGGGUAACCUACCUCAUAGUGGGGGAUAACAGUCGGAAACGACUGCUAAUACCGCAUAGGACAUGGGAUCACAUGAUUCUGUGAGGAAAGGUGGCGCAAGCUAUCGCUAAGAGAUGGACCCGCGGUGCAUUAGCUAGUUGGUAGGGUAACGGCCUACCAAGGCGAUGAUGCAUAGCCGACCUGAGAGGGUGAUCGGCCACAUUGGGACUGAGACACGGCCCAAACUCCUACGGGAGGCAGCAGUAGGGAAUCUUCCGCAAUGGACGCAAGUCUGACGGAGCAACGCCGCGUGAGUGAAGAAGGUCUUCGGAUCGUAAAGCUCUGUUGUUAGAGAAGAACAGCGCAUAGAGUAACUGUUAUGCGUGUGGCGGUAUCUAACCAGAAAGCCACGGCUAACUACGUG